GUCAAGCCUCCGAUAAUGGACGGAUUUUGAUGGCGACCCAUGUGAGGACAAGGAAAAGGACAAGGAGAACGCAAAAACACAAAUUUAUUCCCACUAGAUUUGCCUGCUGGAGUAUCACCUCUUGGAAUGGUAGAUGUUAGGAGAUGAUUAUGGAAAUGGAAAAACAUAAAAUAGACACAUGUGGAUAUAUCUGAGACCAAGCGAAAUGGAAGGGAUACAUUAAAUACCAAGAUUACAUCUUUGCCUACAGUGGACAACCAAAGCAAGACCGCGCCGACUCAGGUGUGGGUAUUCUUGUACAUGAUAAGUACUCUGACAUUAUUGAAAACAUAGAAUAAGUAAAUGGUAGGAUCCUAAGAAUCAACAUGGCAUUCCCCAAGGGCUCACUACAUCUAAUCAGCAUCUAUGCGACCGAUAUAUCCAAGCCAAAAAAAUACUCUGAAAGCUUUUAUAACUCCCUACAAACCAUUAUAGAUCAAAUACCCAACAUAUUAUAGCUCUUGGAGAGCAGUAUUAACAGCUCUCCGAGCAGUUAAUACUGCUCGGAGACUUUAAUGCUCGAAUUGGUACAGUAGAAAUUCCAAGUGUAAAACAGAAGGUUAACGAACCAACUCCCAAUGAGAACGGCGAGUCUCUAAUCGACUUUCGCGCCAGAAAUGAGCCAAGAAAAAAUUACACCUUUUUCCAACAUCAAGAUCAACAUAAAUACACCUUCUGUAGUAGAGGCGAAAAAUCCAUCAUUGACUAUAUAAUAGCGAACAGAGCUAUAAUCGCACCAUAAUAUUGUGCUGGAAAAGAAAGCACUGGAAAAACAUCAGAAACAUAAUAAAGAACCGCUAUAUAUCGAAAAAUACAACAUGGAAUCACUGGACUAAUACAGUACAAAAGCUUUAUACCAGCGGACACUUGCCAACAAACUACCAUACGAAAAUAUAACCGAAGGAAAUUUCAAUGGGAACAGGGAAAGGAUAAAAUCGUGUAUCCAUAAUGCCGCGGAAAAAUGCGAAAAUUAACGUGCAUGGCCAAAACCACAACACACCAUGGUUCUGCCAGCAGGUGAAAAAGCUAGCCAAUGAAAAAAAGAAGUUACUUGCUUGAGAUCAAACACAAAGAGAGAGUUCUUUGCAAAAUUUGCCAAAGACGUGCAACACGAUUUAUAUGGAGCUCACAGGAAAGUAUGGAAGAUGGUUAAAAAUCGAAAAUAUCCUGUGAAAGAAUGCGUUCAAACUAAAAGAGUGUCACUGCGCAACUGGGAGAGAUAUAUUUUAAUGACCUUUUCGAUAACAAUGGAGACACAAAGAUGAGAGCUGAGCAGCUAGAAGAAGAAGAAGAGUGGAAUAUUAAGCUCACAAACAAUCCCCGACGACAAAAAAUGGACAAAAAAACAAACCGAGAAAAUAUACAGAGGUAUAACUCUUCUAUGCUCCACCAUGAAAUUAUUCACCGGCCUUAUUAAAGAUAACCUGGAUCAACAUAUCGAAAUUAAAGACGGACAGCAAGGGUUCCGGAUAAAUAGGUCUACAACUGAGGCCCUAUUUAUCAUACGCUAAACAAAAGGAAAUGUAAUAGCAUUGGACACCCGCGCUUUUGCAUGUCUUAUCGAUUUAACAAAAGCGUUUGACCGUGUCCGACUGGAAGACAUUAUCAACAUCUUGAAGAAAAAACGAACGCCUGCAAGAUUUAUAAAUACAGUAUACUGCCUAAACACAGGCAAUUCGACCCGAAUGAAAGUUGGUAAUAAAACAACAAAUGACAUACCGAUAUCACAGGGUAUAAGACGAGCCCGUUUCUGUUCACCCUGAUUAGAUACGAGAUCAUUGAAGAAAUCAGUGGCUUAAGAAUGGGGUAUUGGAUCAACAGGAAACCCACCAGUGUAAUUUGCCACGCUGAUGACGCGACAAUUUUGGCAGAAACGAAGGACAAUUUGAAAGCAACUUCACAGAUUCAAUCAGGUCAGCACACAAUUUAAUAUGCAAAUAUCAAUAUCCAAGACAAAAUGGCAAGUCACAACUUUCGGAUACCUUGGAGCGGAUAUUUCUAGCCGCAACGAACCAAUUAAAGAUCUUAAAUCCCAGAUCAACACAGCCUCGUUAACAUCAGGUUGCUUAAGAGACGUCAUAUGGAACAACAUAUGAGCAUCGACUAAAGUUCCGAUAUAAGGUUUUUUGCAAUGUUUGCAUAAAUAAUUUUAUAAGAUA